GACGAACGCUGGCGGCGUGCUUAACACAUGCAAGUCGAGCGGUAAGGCCCUUUCGGGGGUACACGAGCGGCGAACGGGUGAGUAACACGUGGGUGACCUGCCUCUAGCUCUGGGAUAAGCCUGGGAAGCUGGGUCUAAUACCGGAUAUGACCUCGCGGUGCAUGUUGCGGGGUGGAAAGCCUUGUGCGGCUAGGGAUGGGCCCGCGGCCUAUCAGCUUGUUGGUGGGGUGANGGCCUACCAAGGCGACGACGGGUAGCCGGCCUGAGAGGGCGACCGGCCACACUGGGACUGAGACACGGCCCAGACUCCUACGGGAGGCAGCAGUGGGGAAGUCUUGCGCAAUGGGCGAAAGCCUGACGCAGCGACGCCGCGUGAGGGAUGACGGCCU
rnacentral:rRNA from 1 species